AUGUCCAACACAUGUCGUUCUCGUGCUACUGUAGAAGACACACUUGCUUCUGGAACUGCCAAAUUCCCUGUUGCUGGCGAUUUGAGCCCUUGCAAACUGUUCUCUGGAGAGCCUCUAGAACCACACGCAGGAGCACCAAAGAGAUCAGCCAACGAUUCCAAUGAAAGCUUUUCAAGCACCAAAACUGCUGGGCCUCCACGUGAUGAUGAGUUUUGUAGUGGAAAGUGUGCUGGAGCUGGCCUGCCGCAUGUGCCGCCAUCAACCGGUCCGUCUACUAGGCCGCGGGCACUAGCGAGCGAAGCUGGACCAGCCCCGUACGCGACGACGUGCCUCGACUCAUGCCUGCUCGUGCGGACUGCCUGGCUUGCCACUCGUUGCGAUGCACCCAACGCUGCUACCGUCUGGACUCGCCAUGCUAUCCUCUGA
rnacentral:rRNA from 1 species